UAUAUAUAGAAUUGAGCUCCUAUGUUUUUAAAAGUACCAAGUCAUUGGUGCUUGUAAGUUUUUGGCCCUUGGAUUAAGAGAUGUGCGGUUAGGAUGAUGUGGGCCCCCUAGGGUUGAGUGGGUGGUUGGUUGAAUAGUAUAAUCUAACGGAUAAAAAUGAUCAAAGACAGAGAUCUAACGGUAAAAAAUUUACAAGCACCAAGUGCUUGGUGCUUUUACAAGCACCAUAGCCGGACUCUAUAUAUAUAUA
rnacentral:lncRNA from 1 species